CAGACUUGAUAAACAAGUUUGUCCUAGGCAAAGGAAUAUUGCAUCACCUGUUUGCCUGUGUCUGUAAUGUAAAUUGAACAGGGGGAUACCAGAGUUAAUAGGCAGUUCAUUUGCAUCUGAAGUAAACACCAGUUAUCAGGCAGAGGAGGAAGCAGCCUGACAUCAGCCCUCUGGAGCACAGACAGCAAUGGAGAAGAACUUUAUCUAGUGAGUCAAAUGAAUCCAUUUCAAAGGUUUACUGGACUAUAAGAAGAGAGGGAGAGAAGCCCUUUGUUAUCCAUCACUGAGAGAAUAAAAAGAUCAGGCUCUUUGCAUCGAUGAGUGGUGGAUCCCCAACUAGGUGAGCUGGUGCCACUGAGAAGUAGCUUUGGAUUCCACACAGGGAUUAAGAAGGAUUAAAUAGGUUUAGGCAUCUAACUCAGGCUUUGUGGAUUGCAACACUGUUCCUGUGACUUUUUAGGUGCCUUGAAGUUAGGCACUGCAACACUCAGCAUCACAGCACAAGUCCUUUGUGAAUCCAGACCUAUAAGUCUAAGAAUAGAGAAGAUGAGUUGCUGCACUUCAUUAAAACUCAGAACACGAGGCCUUCUGCCUCAUGGACUGAGAGACCUGCUUCUCCGAGUCCCAACUCCAUCAGAAAAUGGAAGUAGCUGCUAGUCAGGAAGAGGCCAGAACACCAGGUUCCCUUAUUCUUGUCCCAUGCACUCGAACACUGAGCACUGGUUUUGGUGAUCAUCUUUUUGGUUUCUUUAAUAAAAAAAAAAAAAAAAGAA